UUUCCCUCUUCUUCGUUCCUCCUCUCUUCGUAUUUGUUCAGCGGCAUCCGAAGCCCUAAGUCAUCUCCCAAACUGAGGAAUCACUCUUAGAGAGAGAGAGAGGAGAUGGCAACUUCAGGUGUACUGGAUAUCAAUGUCUUGCUCUUUCCCGCACUUCCCUUUCUCCUCUUUCUUUGUUUCUUCUUCUUCAUUUCUUUCGAUUCAAUGUGAUUUGUGAAUAUUUUGAGUUGUUAAUUUCUGCUGAAUACUUGUUUUGUUUGGGUGAAAAUUAAAAAUUCUACUGUUCUAUGUAAACAAUUAAGGGAAUGUCCAGAGAAGAGAAGGUGGAAGAGAAGAAAAGGAUAUAGUUGUGAAUACCAUAGGACGAUGACUUCGGCUUCGGAUGCCGAGGAGAUGGUGGAGAGGGUUUCACAACUCUCUGGUCUCUCUCGCUGAUCAGAGACGAAGGAGAGAGAAUAAGGUUUGAAAGGGAGGCGGUUUUGCCCCGAAAUCCAUAAGACAUGAGACCCAAAUUCUCACUUCAUCGCUCACCGUUGGAUGGACUAAUGCCACGUGUCAGUAGCUAAAAACCUCUCCGCCUGUCUCAGCCACAGAUCGUUGUUUUCCCGACCGACAACUGGGUCAUCCUGGAGAAAACUUCCGUUUUUACUUCUUCGUCAGUUAGAAGUAGCGUAUUCCUUACGCAAGCACCAAAUCACUGCGGCAACAGCGCGCACCGUCAAACCUGAGGAGUGUGUGAAAGGAGGAGGGCAAAGAAAAAAAAUUCUAGGGUUGAGUUGCAGACGAACAUAACCACUGACUCUUCACAGGGCUCUCCAGAAAGAAAAAAGCCUCAAUACAAUCAGCCAAUUCAUUCCAGGCCUCUGCAUUGGAGCCAUUAGUUGGUAAUUCCUCAGCAAAAUCAGCAGUAACCUUGUCACUGACGCAGACUUCCUCUUCGGACCUGGGAGAUUUAUAGCAGACUGGGCUUAGGCUUUGGAUUCGAUAGAAGUGAGUUUUUGUUUUGAGAGGAACACUGAAUAACGGAAGCAGAGAUUAUCCCAAAACUCAGAUUCUCGAGGGCCGAAGAGCUGUUUUCAAGUCCAGUCAAAAGUGUUGGCACCCGUUACUUCUUGUUGAUGACGUGACGCUCCGUCUCUGACCCUAGGUCGGAGCAGCAGGUUGUGAAUCGCUCUCUGUCACUGUGCUGCUUUAGAGUGGAGACUGGAUCCGAACACUCAUCCAUCGAUAGACAAUAUCUAACGUUAUUCCAUUUAAGCUAGUACACAUAACAAAGUUAGAUAGGCUGAAAAUGCCUUCCAUGGCAAAUACAGGAACCAAAAAUUUCUCCAAAAACCAACAACUCAAUGGGAGGAUCGCUAAUAACGACAACAAGUCUGAAUCCUUCACAA